rnacentral:lncRNA from 1 species
AGGAGGGAUUCGACGAACAUAACUUUGGAGAACCUGACCACAAUGUACAAGACAAUAUGUACCCAAGGAGUUGAAUGGAGCAAACAAGUUAUUGGACCACAAGAGUUAAACUGUCAGUACUGAACUAGCAUGUGUAUAACCAGCUAUGAAUCUUUAGUUUGCAAUUCACAAGGAAUUCAGCCAAGAAAACCAACGAUUUGGAAGAACAUAGAACUAUCCAAUGAGGAUACGUAUUACCAGCUAUGUAUGUACUCCGUAGUUUGCAAUUCGGUAACUGAUCCUGUACAUGUGUCAUUGUCACCAACAUCGACUGACUGUCUGUAAAUUGCAAGGCCAUAUGUAGCUUGCGAAAGAAGAGAGAAGGGCUUGAUCUACUUGCACCCGAACUGCCACAAUUGCCCAGCUGAUUCCUUGGUCACUUCAACACCCCUUCGAGACACUCCAUUUUUCGCUACCCCUCCCUAGCAAAAGUGGCGUCAGAACUCAAAAUGAAGCAAAUAGCUCAACCACAAGAAUGCUUAUUAAACUGACAUUGGAGGGAUGCAAACUCAGACUUAAUUAAACUGACCUUUCUUCUAUGCUUCCUGGGUGCAUGUGGGAGUGAGACUGCUGGAACUGGAGGGGUCACAUUAUGUUGACCAGCAUUGUCCCCUAAAUCAGCAGUCAGUGUUAGAAUUCCAUGCAACAAUUUUUUUUCUGUUCAAAUUUGAAGUAGUUAAGUACCAUCAAAAGCACAAUUAUGAUUCACAUUCUGUCUCCCCUGGUCUUGUAUAACAACAAUUGCUCAAAUUUGAAUUCAAUGCAACAAAAAUCUAUGUUCAGUGAGCACUUGUAUCUUAUUACUUUGCUGAGCAACAAACCCUAAAUGAGCAGUCAGCGAGUGCUUCAAAUUUGAAUUCCAUGGAGCAAAAUAACAUUAAUCAGAUUUCAUUUCCAUGCAGAAAAGCAUUUCUGUUCAAAUUGCUUGUAGCUCUCAUUACCUCGAAAUAACGAGUACCAACAGAAGUUACGAUAUCAGUUCCAUGCAGCAAAUGCAGAAAAUAUUUUUGCUUAAAAUUUGUAGUAGCUCAUUACCUCCCAAAGGAAUAAUACGAUUUGGACUUUGAAUUCCUAGCGCGUGCAUCUCAUUGGUCUGUUCAUCUCCCCCUAAAUCAGGGUCAAUAACAGUUUACAUUUGAAUUUCAUGCAGCGAAUUCUUCCUGUUCAGAAGUUUGUGUAGUUCAGUACCUUCUUCAACGAUCUCAAUCUUACAACCAUCGUUUCGCGCUUCCAUUCUACUGAUAGCGACCACAACCCUUUGUAAAUCAGCUGUCAAAGAGAAUCAACAAAUUAAAUUGGUGCUCGACUUAGACCAAAAUCUGAAUUAGCAUAUAUCAUACACUGAGAAAGCACUGGCUGUGAAUCAAGAUGCGUACUGCGUGUUGACGGCGGCGCAGGAGGUAUAACAUUGGAGUCACUAUCAUUCCCUUCAUUAGGUUGAUCUCGAUCCUCCAAAUGAGCUAAAUAAACAGUAAAAGAAAACUGUUGUUCUACUCCAUGGCAGAAGAUGCAAACCGAACAAACAAUGAUGUACAUUUUUCAAAUCAUGAAUAAUUUACCUUCGUCUUGUCUCCUGCGGAAUGACCUGCCAACAGUAGAUUUUAACUUCUUUAUGGCCUCUGGAGCCUUCAACUUUUUGUGAACUUGAAUCAACAGCAGUAUCUCCAAGCCGUAGCACACCAAGUUUAGAGAGGAUGAGAU